UACGUAAGGACCGAGCGUUGUCCGGAAUCAUUGGGCGUAAAGGGUACGUAGGUGGUUAAGAAAGUUAGAAGUGAAAGGCUUUAGCUCAACUAAUGUAAGCUUUUAAAACUGCUAAACUUGAGAGAUUGAGGGGAAAGUGGAAUUCCUAGUGUAGCGGUGAAAUGCGCAGAUAUUAGGAGGAAUACCAGUGGCGAAGGCGACUUUCUGGCAAUAAACUGACGCUGAGGUACGAAAGCGUGGGUAGCAAACAGG
rnacentral:rRNA from 1 species